rnacentral:lncRNA from 1 species
UACUUAAGUUUUUAAAAAGCUGAAAGACCAUGAUCACAGAAACAAAAUCUACCUACCUUUCUACAGGACUGAAAUAACAGAGGGAAGUGUGGCAAAUAGUUCAUACUAAAGUGGUUAGCAAAAAUCUUGGCAUUGACAAAGAAAUCUUAUUCCAGACUUUCAGCAUCCAAAGAUAUUCCAAACAUGCAUAAGACAUCAAGAUAGAUUUUUCCCUUAAGAAUAAAUGUAAUGAGGGAAAUAAUAGUCUGAGUGCAUGUAAACCUAGGCAAAUGAAAUACAUUUCUUACAUCCAACUUACUGUUUAAUGCACAAUCAACAGUUUCUAGUGAGGGGAAUUAAAAUUAUUUCAAUGUAUAUGCAUAAAGUGAGACCUUAAUAAUAUUUUUCACUGCUCACUGUUUCAAAUUUGCUAAUUCAUAUCAGUGUGAAAUAUAAACACACUGUUUAUCCAAAGGCCAUUCAGUAUCA